ACUUAUUUAUCUAGUUCAUGUCUUCUUCCAAACACCAACAAUGGCGAGAAAAAAAUAAAUUGACAAGAUUCAGGUGAAAAGAAAUUCAAUCAAGGUCUAGAAAAAUCCUCCCCAACUCUGAUUUCAUCUUGAGUGAUUGAAAGUGGUGAGUUUAGUGUUCUAAUUUGGUUGACUUCCGUGGAGAUUUGAGAGUAACUGAUAAAGGGUUCUCUGUGUUUUUCUUGAUUGAUUAUUGAAGGUGUCUUUGGAAUCGAUAAUCGGGAUACAAAGAUUAAAGUUUGAGUUGCAAAUUGAGGUGGGAAUUUACAUGAACUCUUUUGUAACAAAGAUUAAAGUUUAUCAUGGGAUUGGAUCCCGAGAUGCGAAAGAAACUUUCAUGUAUACGAAUCAAGACUUAUGCAGAUGCUUUAAAUCGGUUCUUUGAUUAUGAGAAACAAAUGGAAGAUCAACUUGCAGCAAGGGUAAGAGAAAGGUCUCAACAAUUCUUAGAAAGGCAAGAUCCAACAAAGCGACCAACGUUAUCACCUCCUAAUCAGACAUCUUUUAGGCCAUCAACGGGAUCAGCAGCAGUACCAACUGCAGUACGUCCACCUAUAGUAGACCCCAAGGGAGAGUGGUACGUUUCCAACAAGUACGUCUGGUUGCACCAACAAGUUCUUGUUCGAGUUCCUACAGAUGUUAUUCCUGCGGUGAAUGGGGUCAUCUUAGGAAGGGUUGCACAAAAUACCCACCAACAGGGUUAGCACAACAAGGGGCGAUAUAUGCAAUCGAGACAAUAAUAACUUCUAAUCAGGAAACAUCACAAGAAGUCAAGUGUUCCAUAUAUACAAUGGUAUAAGGGGAUGGAUCUGCGACCGAUCAAGUGGUUGAAGGUAAAAUAUUAUUAUUCAAUCAUAUAGUUCAUGUGUUGAUAGAUACUGGUUCUACACAAUCAUUUAUUAAUCUAAGUAUAACAAAUGAACUGGGGUUAAACAUGGCAUGUAAGGAAAAAAUGUUAGCUUUGGCUACACCAUUAGGGAGAAAAACCUUUUCUUUCGAGUCUGCGAGAAAUGUGUGAUGAUGGUUAAUGACCAAGAAUUGGUUG